GCGCUCUUAGCUCAGCUGGAUAGAGCAACAGCCUUCUAAGCUGUGGGUCAGAGGUUCGAAUCCUCUAGGGCGCG
rnacentral:tRNA from 1 species